CACAAAACGACAUCGCUCUCUCUUCACCACCACCAGAAAAUAUUCACACCAAAUAACAACAACAACAAGAAUAAUAAUUUUCAUUAAUGUCGGAGCUAAGAUCUUUCAGAUCAUCAUCUUCUUCACUUCAUCUUCUUUCUUCAUCCGCUGAGUUGGUCUCCGAUGGAAUCAAAAUCCCAUUUCCGAUAUUUUCCAGUUUCAAAUCUCCAUUGAUUUUGUUUUUAUCCAAAAAGAGGUCCUCAAAAUCCCCUUCCAUUUCUGGGUCACAUUUUCAAUUCAAUUUCAUUACCAACAUUGAUCGGAUUCCCAAUUCCGCCGUGUACAGUAACCGGAAUAACUCGAAACCCCCGUCCGAGACGACAAACCCGAAACCGAAACCGAAACCAAUUGAGCUUUGUAAAUCUCCCUGUCGUAAUCCGCCCUUUUAUCCGGAUCCGACAAUGUCAAAUACGCCGCCUGAAUCUUAAUAAACUCCUCCGCCGAAUUCUCCGCCACCACGUCUGGAUGACAAGUUCUCGCUAGUUUGCGGUAAGCCGCCUUGAUUUCCCGGCAAGAAGCUGUCAUCGGAAUCCCAAGCACCUCGUAAAACGAGGAACGCCCAACCGAUAACUCGCGCCCGAAUCGCAGCCCGGCCGCUGAGGCUACCACCGCCGGAUUCGGCCUCUGAACGGAGGGGCAGGCGGCGGUUGGCCGG
rnacentral:misc_RNA from 1 species